AUGAACUUUUAUUAACAAGAUAUAAUUUCUUGUUAAAGAUGAGCAGACGGGUGACACCCGAAUCGUUAGUGUGCUACCACAUUUGGAUUCCAUCACCCCCGAGCAGCAACAUCCGAGGACCAGCGAGGCCCACGCAGUGGUCACCGUCGUCUGGACUUUGUGUUCAAACUUUCAAACUUUAAUAUUUCCAAAACUCAAACUAAAACAAUUGAUGCAUCUUGUAAUAGGAGAGACACACACAAUCCAUCUUCGCCUCUCAUAGAAAAUUUUCAUUCACUCCAACCACCUCCUUUGGUCCCCCGGAGGACCAAGACUUUGAGUCUUUCUUUCACGUUGGUGUUGUCUUGUGUCCUUCAUGGUGUUGCCCCGCUGAACCUACUCGCUGUGCUAGCGAUGCUCAUCGUGAAGAUUGUGUAUGAGCCAAUGUUGGCUCAUAUUUUUGUUGAAUCGGCGCACCUUGACCACCCCAUCUAUGGGGAUUGGCGUCCAACUCUCCAUGGGACCGUCAUGGAGAACCAGAAACCAUGGAAGGACACUACUUUAAGUGCCCUCAGCCUUGACUUGGUGUUUCAUGACACCCGGUGGCGGAUCCAGGAUUGGCUGACGCCCCAGGCGAGAAACUAAGGCUAAACACUACCUGAAAAAACUCCAGUUUCAAGGCAUACAAAAGUCAAAAUAUGUUGCAUGUUGCAUAACUACCAAGAAACCAAGCAUAUAAUAUUCAAUGGCAGCAUUUGUUCCAUGAUGGGACAACUAGUAAAGCAAGACAAAUCAAAAGACAAUAUGUAGCAUAUAUAGAUGAUACAAAGGAUUGAUAUCAAAUCAAAGAAUUGGUUGAUCUGAGCCUCCCAUGACUCAUCUUCAAUAGCAGAAGAAGCUAAACCUUCAAUCAUAAAUUUCGAAAUGCAAAUCAGUGCGUAUUAUAGCAGGUAAAACUAGUUAAUAACAGAUGCAAAAUGUGAAAACUUAUGUCUAGGACGAGGCAAAAGGCCUUUGCGUGUGCGAUAACCUUGAAAUCGUUCAAUGGUCUUUGAUUCUUCAAUACUAACAAAUACAUCUCAUUCAAUGUAACAUACCAUUUUGUUAUGCAUCCACUCAUCGCCCAUUUUGUUUCUCAAUCCAGUCUUGAUAAUGCUCAUUGUUUAGAAUGCCCUUUCCACCG
rnacentral:lncRNA from 1 species